GUACUGAUGAAGAGUCUCAAACUAGACCGAAACAGCUGUCCAGUAC
rfam:Trichobilharzia regenti genome assembly, scaffold: TRE_scaffold0096068